UACGUAGGAGGCGAGCGUUGUCCGGAUUUAUUGGGCGUAAAGAGCUCGUAGGCGGCUUGUUGCGUCGACCGUGAAAACCCGGGGCUCAACUUCGGGCUUGCGGUCGAUACGGGCGGGCUAGAGUUCGGUAGGGGAGACUGGAAUUCCUGGUGUAGCGGUGAAAUGCGCAGAUAUCAGGAGGAACACCGGUGGCGAAGGCGGGUCUCUGGGCCGAUACUGACGCUGAGGAGCGAAAGCGUGGGGAGCGAACAGG
rnacentral:rRNA from 1 species